rnacentral:rRNA from 1 species
UACGUAGGGUGCAAGCGUUGUCCGGAAUUAUUGGGCGUAAAGAGCUCGUAGGCGGUCUGUCGCGUCUGCUGUGAAAACUCGGGGCUUAACCCCGGGCCUGCAGUGGGUACGGGCAGACUAGAGUGCGGUAGGGGAGACCGGAAUUCCUGGUGUAGCGGUGAAAUGCGCAGAUAUCAGGAGGAACACCGGUGGCGAAGGCGGUUCUCUGGGCCUGUACUGACGCUGAGGAGCGAAAGCGUGGGGAGCGAACAGG